UUCUUAUUUUCACUGGCCCAUUGUGCUUAUCUGCUUGCUGACGUAUUACUAAUAUCUGACACGGGCGACAUCCCGGGUCCUGGAACUGCAUUUACCGCCAGGAGCAGUUGGUGACCACCAUCUAGCCUCGGCAUCACUAUCGAUCGGAUGAUACUUUAAUUUGGCAUAGACUAAAAAACUCAUCAGAAGAGCAUUUAUAUUCAUAAGUCAUAACAACCGGCGAUGAUUUUAGGGUCUUUAAUUUCCCGGCGCGGUAGAUCCCCUCCAGUCCAGUCCGAGCACCUCGCCGUGCGGCCGUGCCUGAUCUUAGGGGAUGGAAGGCAACCGGAGCGACGGGGACGUCGAUCUGUCCCCGCGGACGGAGGCUCGCCGGAGUUUCGUUCCCCCCCGCGUCACCGCCGUGGCGGGAGGGGAGAGGGAGGCCUUGGAGAACCGUGGACUCGGCGACGACCACGAGAAGACUGAUGACGAGGACUCCGAGCACGUACGCUCAAGUCAGAACUCGGAUGUUCUUGUUUAGAUUUGAGAUUCCCCAGAAGCUAUCGCCUGCACGGGCGACUUGAUAUAUCUGUAAAAAAGGGAUUCCUGGACAUCCCUAUUUACACAUGUAUUAUAUUCUUCUGCUGCGUCUGCUGCAGGUGGAGGAUAACUUUUGGAGCAGAAUGAAGAUAACAUGUUCCUACCUGCAAAGAAGAAGAAUGGGAAUGGCAAUAACGGUUUUGAUGGCACAGUUGAUCUGGUGACUGAUCACAUCAGGAAGCAUUCCUGGUAUAAUAUUUGCCUCCUGCCGGAUGAGAUGCUCACUGAAAUUUUCCUUCGUCUUCCACCUAAUGCUAGAGGCAUCCUCUGUGCCUCAACUGUCUGCAAAUACUGGCACAAGCUCAUCACCAGCUAUUUAUUCAUGCGCUGCUUUAGUACAUUACAUCUACCACCUUUAAUUUGUGGACUGAUCAGCAGUAGGUGCAAUCCAAGGUUAGUGAUCCGCAUUACCAGCGCGUUGAAUCCCAAUCAGGUGGCCAAACUUAAAAAAGUCGGUUUUGGUGAUUAUUUGGAUAUGAAGAUUUGCCACACAUUCAGGGAACUUGGGGCUUGGAUGCUAUGGCACCAUGAUGCAGAAGAGAUGUGCUUUAAAUUUGGAUAUGAAGAUGUGCUUUAAAAAGUCGGUUUUGGUGAUUAUUUUUGGAUAUGAUGACCUUUUUGUCACAUGUUGGACUUUGAUUUUAGUAGAUAAGAUCUUUGCUCCUACAACAUCUCUCUCUGUCAGCAAAAGAUUAUUGGAAACUUGCCUCGACGUGAAUAUUAUAAUGUCCUACGACUGGGUUGGCUACAUCAUGGAAGCAGUUAGAAAGAGUGCCAAAAAAUUACAGGAGGACAGAUCUGCGACCUUUGCAAACGGAUCCACUUAUUUUCUUGGGUUGUAUUUACUGGAUUGGCUGAAACAUCCGGGUCUCACACCUCCUAUUGGUGAACCUCGUUUCACUCUUUGGCAUGAUGAGCAGAGAAAGCUGGUGAUGGGCGGUAACUGGGUGGGUGGUGCACCUUUUGCAUAUCUUACAAGCCUAAAGGUGAGGACAGCCAUGGAUACAUGUUAUGCUGAAGAUUUUGGGUAUUCCGAAUGAAACAAAAGGUUUCUGGUCUUUCUUAGUACCUAACAGAUGAAGUGAUCCAGAAUGACGGAAGGAAGUAUCAGCUUUGUCAUCUGCAGCUGAAAUGAAGAUCAUGCAUGGGGCGCUUCUUUUAGUUUGUUCAUCUGAUGUCAAACCUGCUACCCUUGUCUGUAUACUACCUCCGGCUACAAAUUCAAGCACUUCUGAGUUUGUACUAAGUUAAACAAUUAUAGGUUUCACAAAGACCAUUAGUAUUUAUGAUACCAAAUAAAUAACAUCU